UGCGUAGGCGGAUUUAUAAGUCAGUGGUGAAAUCCUGAAGCUUAACUUCAGAACUGCCAUUGAUACUGUAGAUCUUGAGUACGGUUGAGGUGGGCGGAAUGUGUCAUGUAGCGGUGAAAUGCUUAGAUAUGACACAGAACACCAAUUGCGAAGGCAGCUCGCUAAGCCAUUACUGACGCUAAUGCACGAAAGCGUGGGGAGCGAACAGGAUUAGAUACCCUGGUAGUCC
rnacentral:rRNA from 1 species